UUUAUUCUGAAGCUGAGGCCACAACCUAUGAGGUAAUCUUUGGAAUUGCAUUCGAGGCGGAGUCCCAUUGGAAGGCUGGCGAAGCCCCUCCCUGGGUUCCCGGCGCCCCGCCUCCCCUGAAGCCCAUAAAAGCGCAAGUCCCCGCCUAGGCAGCCAGUGGACACCUGCAUCUGCCUGCAAGACGGGAAGCAGGUCAGCGCAUGGACAGUUUCCCAGAAAGCGACAAGACUGUGAAGUUUGACGGUCUGGAAAACGGAGACCAACCGCGCUGACUACCUGGGAGGUGAAAUGGCCAAUCCGUAGGACGGAGUGGGGACAGGCGCCUGCCAAGAUGGCAUUACUGUGCUCUUUCCAGACUUCUGUGAGAAGCAUUGUGCCAAGCAUGUUACAUACAUUAUAUCAUGCCAUCUUCAGCCCCAGGACAUGGGUGUUAUUACACUCAGGUGACAGCUUGGAAUGGAUGCCGCCACCCCGAGUGCCCCAUGGCACAUUCUGCCUCCUCAUCCAAGUCUCAUUUCAUCAAGGGAAACUUUCUUUGUUGCCUCACCUUUCCCCACGUCAAGUCUACAUUAGACAUUCUCAUAGACCCGGGAUAUCUUCCACCUGGCACUUAGUCUAAUUAUUUUUGUGUUACUAUUUACAGAACUGUCUCCCCCAUGAUACUGUGAGCUCCAUGAGGGCAGAGACUGUGUUUGUAUUUCCACUGCUGAGUCCCCGGCACCCAAUCCAGGGCCUGGUACACAGCAGGUGCUCAAUAAAUAUUUGUUGACUCAAUAAAGGCAUCAGGGAAUAAACCAAUACAUCAAUCAAUAAAUGAAUUGAUGGUUUCGGCGCACGAAGACCCUACUUCUCCUCGGUCUCCCCCACAGAGAUACCACAGGGUGAUGGUUGAUGCAGGUGUUUAUUGGGAAGUAUAAUUAAAUUUGUGGACACUCAAGGGCCGGCCAACCAACUAAUGCCCCAGGAGACAGCCAGACUCGUUUAAUUAGCAAUUAUGAGGCAUUGAUUCCUCAUUAGCUCUGGCAACCCCUGUCUCCCUCCUCAGCCCCAGACAAACGAAAUCUUUCUCUCUCCCGGGAGUACUGCCUCAGUGGGUCCAUUAACAAGCAGAGAAGAUAUGAUUACAAGACACCAGAGGCUCUUCAUGAAUGAGGAGCGGAGAGAGAGUUCAACAUCUGGGUUAAGGCUAACUGUGAGAGACUUUCUGGUAUAUUUAGAAUUGUUCUCUGGGAAUGGGAGCGCUUUCAGAUACGAAAAGGCACCCAGAUACUGCCCUUUAGGGACACCAAUGAAAGAGGAGGUUCUGCCCUGGUAUUUUUUUUAAAAAAUCUUAUUUAUUUAUUUUAUUUUUGGCUGUGUUGGGUCUUCUUUUCUGUGCGAGGGCUUUCUCUAGUUGCGGCGAGCGGGGGCUACUCUUCAUCGCGGUGCGCGGGCCUCUCACUGUCGCGGCCUCUCGUUGCGGAGCACAGGCUCCAGACGCGCAGGCUCAGUAGUUGUGGCUCACGGGCCUAGUUGCUCCGCGGCAUGUGGGACCUCCCCAGACCAGGGAUCGAACCCAUGUCCCCUGCAUUGGCAGGCAGACUCUCAACCACUGCGCCACCAGGGAAGCCCCCUGGUAUUUCUAUGAAUAUCUUUCCCUAGGUGUCUCACCAUCACUCCAAACUAAUAAUGUCAAGGUGAAUGCCCAAUCCACCCAACCCCCAACUUGCCCCUGCCCUCCAUGCCCCCAUCAUGCGGCAGGCUCUCCACAUUCCAGAGACACUCCCCUCCCCCUCCC